rnacentral:rRNA from 1 species
CUCAGGCAACGAUGAGUAGCCGGCCUGAGAGGAUGAUCGGCCACACUGGAACUGAGACACGGCCCAGACUCCUACGGGAGGCAGCAGUGGGGAAUAUUGCGCAAUGGGGGAAACCCUGACGCAGCGACGUCGUGUGAGGGAUGAAGGUUCUCGGAUCGUAAACCUCUGUCAUAAGGGAAGAAACACGUACGGCCCAAUAGGCCCUAUGUCUGACGGUACCUUCAGAGGAAGCACCGGCUAACUCCGUGGCAGCAGCCGCGGUAAUACGGAGGGUGCAAGCGUUAAUCGGAAUCACUGGGCGUAAAGAGCACGAAGGCGGCUUUGUAAGUCAGACGUGAAAGCCCACGGCUCAACCGUGGAAUUGCGUUUGAUACUGCAUAGCUUGAGUCCUGGAGAGGAAAGCGGAAUUCCGGGUGUAGAAGUGAAAUCCGUAAAGAUCCGGACGAACACGGGUGGCGAAGGCGGCUUCCUGGACAGGUACUGACGCUGAGGUGCGAAAGCCUGGGGAGCCAACAGGAUUACAUACCCUGCUAGUCCACGCCGAAAACGAUGAA